GUGCCAGCAGCCGCGGUAAUACGAAAGGGGCAAGCGUUGUUCGGAUUUACUGGGCGUAAAGGGCACGCAGGCGGUCUUGCCAGUCAGGGGUGAAAGCCCGGGGCUCAACCCCGGAACUGCCUCUGAUACUGCAGGACUAGAGACUAGGAGAGGGUGGUGGAAUUCCCAGUGUAGAGGUGAAAUUCGUAGAUAUUGGGAGGAACACCAGAGGCGAAGGCGGCCACCUGGACUAGAUCUGACGCUCAGGUGCGAAAGCGUGGGGAGCAAACAGGAUUAGAUACCCUGGUAGUCCACGCCGUAACGAUGAGUGCUAGUUGUCGGGAUUUCGAUUUCGGUGACGCAGCUAACGCAUUAAGCACUCCGCCUGGGGAGUACGGUCGCAAGAUUAAAACUCAAAGGAAUUGACGG
rnacentral:rRNA from 1 species